GCCAACUAUAAUGCACCUCGUGAAGAUGAACAAAGUUUGGGAGACGAUGAUGUCGACGAAAGUAUGGAUGCAGAUGGUGUUGAUGUAGAAGAUGAUAAUGUAGAGCAAGAAGAAGAUGUUGACACUGAUAAUAUUCAGAGUGAUGUUCUGGAGGAGGCAACUGAUGACGAGAGAUUGGACUGUGGUUUUGUUGAUGAGGU